GAUGAACGCUGGCGGCGUGCUUAACACAUGCAAGUCGAGCGAAGCACCUUGACGGAUUUCUUCGGAUUGAAGCCUUGGUGACUGAGCGGCGGACGGGUGAGUAACGCGUGGGUAACCUGCCUCAUACAGGGGGAUAACAGUUGGAAACGGCUGCUAAUACCGCAUAAGCGCACAGUACCGCAUGGUACGGUGUGAAAAACUCCGGUGGUAUGAGAUGGACCCGCGUCUGAUUAGGUAGUUGGUGGGGUAACGGCCUACCAAGCCGACGAUCAGUAGCCGACCUGAGAGGGUGACCGGCCACAUUGGGACUGAGACACGGCCCAAACUCCUACGGGAGGCAGCAGUGGGGAAUAUUGCACAAUGGGGGAAACCCUGAUGCAGCGACGCCGCGUGAGCGAUGAAGUAUUUCGGUAUGUAAAGCUCUAUCAGCAGGGAAGAAAAUGACGGUACCUGACUAAGAAG
rnacentral:rRNA from 1 species